rnacentral:rRNA from 1 species
AUUGAACGCUGGCGGCAGGCCUAACACAUGCAAGUCGAGCGGAGCGGCGGACGGGUGAGGAAUGCUAAGGAAUCUGCCUGGUAGUGGGGGAUAACGACCGGAAACGGGCGCUAAUACCGCAAACUCUCAGAUGAGCAUAGGGCGGAUUAGGUAGUUGGUGGUGUAAAGGCCUACCAAGGCGACGAUCCGUAACUGGUCUGAGAGGAUGAUCAGUCACACUGGGACUGAGACACGGUCCAGACUCCUACGGGAGGCAGCAGUGGGGAAUAUUGGGCAAUGGGCGAAAGCCUGAUGCAGCCAUGCCGCGUGAGUGAAGAAGGUCUUCGGAUUGUAAAGCACUUUAAGUAGGGAGGCGUUACCAACAGAAUAAGCACCGGCUAACUUCGUGCCAGCAGCCGCGGUAAUUC